rnacentral:lncRNA from 1 species
UUCGCCCACUGGUCAGUCGCUCCCGGCUUGAUUCGCGUCCUUUGUUUAUUCCAUAUGCGGAUUGCUUCGAUUCGAUUUGGUCUAGAAUCUCGACAUGGAUUCAGGAUUGCCCGAUGCCCGAGGUGUGGUGCGUGGUUUCAUGCUGUUGUUGAUCUGUCAGUCACAAAUGGAAAAUGAUUAGUUCGUCUCAGCAUGGUAUUAACCCCCUUGUGUGUAGUUCCCUCCAUAUAUCAGAGCGGCGCGGUUGUACUUUCUUUGUUUAUUUCUGAAAUCGCCACUAACUAGAACAUGAUGAUUUUGUUAGCCCACUGAAGAAUUUCCCAACACCUCAAUACUCUACCACACUAUGUUGUGUUUCAUUCUAGGAUCUGUGCUCUAGAAUGUUCAUUCUAGAAUAUGCUCAUUUAGGAAUAUUUGCUUUUUUGAAUAGAAACUCAUUUCCACAUAUGUUUUCUAUGUUUAUUAUGUUCUGAUUCUGGUCGAUCCCAGCCAUGAGCUUGAAUGGUCUAGUAGUAGAACAUCAAGUUAAUUUGUAGCAGUGAGGUCACUGAGCCUUGUAAUUGUAUCUUUGUGGUUACUAACAUGAUUGUUGUAGGCUACAAGAUAUAUCUCUGUCGGUUCAUCUUGUUGUAGAAUAUGCUGAAGGAAAUAUGCCCUAGAGGCAAUAAUAAAGUUAUUAUUUAUUUCCUUAUAAUCAUGAUAAAUGUUUAUUAUUCAUGCUGGAAUUGUAUUAACCGGAAACAUAAUACAUGUGUGAAUACAUAGACAAACAAAGUGUCACUAGUAUGCCUCUACUUGACUAGCUCGUUAAUCAAAGAUGGUUAUGUUUCCUGACCAUGAAGAAUGAGUUGUUAUUUGAUUAACGAGGUCACAUCAUUAGUUGAAUGAUCUGAUUGACAUGACCCAUUCCAUUAGCUUAGCACCCGAUCGUUCAGUAUGUUGCUAUUGCUUUCUUCAUGACUUAUACAUGUUCCUAUGACUAUGAGAUUAUGCAACUCCCGUUUGCCGGAGGAACACUUUGGGUGCUACCAAACGUCACAACGUAACUGGGUGAUUAUAAAGGAGCAUUACAGGUGUCUCCAAAGGUAGAUGUUGGGUUGGCGUAUUUCGAGAUUAGGAUUUGUCACUCUGAUUGUCGGAGAGGUAUCUCUGGGCCCUCUCGGUAAUACACAUCACAUAAGCCUUGCAAGCAUUACAACUAAUAUGUUAGUUGUGAGAUGAUGUAUUACGGAACGAGUAAAGAGACUUGCCGGUAAUGAGAUUGAACUAGGUAUUGGAUACCGACGAUCGAAUCUCGGGCAAGUAACAUACCGAUGACAAAGGGAACAACGUAUGUUGUUAUGCGGUCUGACCGAUAAAGAUCUUCGUAGAAUAUGUAGGAGCCAAUAUGGGCAUCCAGGUCCCGCUAUUGGUUAUUGACCGGAGACGUGUCUCGGUCAUGUCAACAUUGUUCUCGAACCCGUAGGGUCCGCACGCUUAAGGUUACGAUGACAGUUAUAUUAUGAGUUUAUGCAUUUUGAUGUACCGAAGGUUGUUCGGAGUCCCGGAUGUGAUCACGGACAUGACGAGGAGUCUCGAAAUGGUCGAGACGUAAAGAUUGAUAUAUUGGAAGCCUAUAUUUGGAUAUCGAAAGUGUUCCGGGUGAAAUCGGAUUUUACCGGGUUACCGGGAGGUUAUCGGAACCCCCCGGGAAUCAUAUGGGCCUUAAUGGGCCUUAGUGGAAAGGUGAAAGGGCUGCCCAUAAGGGCUGCGCGCCUCCCCCCCUCCCCUAGUCCUAUUAGGACUAGGAGAGGUGGCCGGCCACCCCUCUCCCUCUUUCCCCCUUGGGGAAUCCUAGUUGGAAUAGGAUUGGGGGGGGGAGUCCUACUCCCGGAAGGAGUAGGACUCCUCCUGCGCCCUUCUCCUAGCCGGCGCCCCCCUCCCCCCUUGGCUCCUUUAUAUACUGAGGCAGAGGCACCCCAAAAACACACAAGUUGAUCCACGUGAUCUAUUCCUUAGCCGUGUGCGGUGCCCCCUGCCACCAUAUUCCUCGAUAAUACUAUAGCGGAGUUUAGGCGAAGCCCUGCUGCUGUAGUUCAUCAAGAUCGUCACCACACCGUCGUGCUGACGGAACUCUUCCCCGACACUUUGCUGGAUCGGAGUCCGGGGAUCGUCAUCGAGCUGAACGUGUGCUUGAACUCGAAGGUGCCGUAGUUUCGGUGCUUGAUCGGUUGGAUCGUGAAGACGUACGACUACUUCCUCUACGUCGUGUCAGCGCUUCCACAGUCGGUCUGCGUUGGGUACGUAGACAACACUCUCCCCUCUCGUUGCUAUGCAUCACAUGAUCUUGCGUGUGCGUAGGAAUUUUUUUGAAAUUACUACGAAACCCAACAUAUGCCCCUAUCCAUUCAUUUAUGUGUAUUGCUAUUUGCCUCUGGUGACAUGCGAGAAGAACUCAUCUAUAUGUUUAUAUUUUGAGCGGCUGGGUACAACUACAGUUGCAAAAUCAUCCAGCCAAAUUUUGGGAGGAUGGCAUAAAAGAUUACAUAACCCAUGCUUUUGAAAUCAUGGUAAGCUUCACAAGCUUGUAAGGUGUUUCCUAUUUUCAAGUGACUUUACAUCAAGUUACUACUUCUCAACAGAAAUUCUAGACUGUGUAAUGUUACUGCAGAUAUGAUGUGGGUUCAAUGCUUAUAAUGUUACUGUAGAUAUUCAAAACAAGCUGAAGUCCUUUUGAUUCUUGAUUUCUAGCAUACACAUGCAACCUAAUUGGUGUUGUUACUGUAGAUAUGAUGUAGGUUCAAUGCUUACAAUUUUUUGAUGUGAUGCAUGUUACCUUUCGAAAUAUGAAGAUGCAUGUAAGAACUAUUGCUAGCGAUCUGGCAUGUCAUAACAGUCUUACCCCUUGUUCUAUCACUAGCAUACACUAUAGUUUUAGAUAAAAGGGGGCAUAUCAUUUGCUCUAUCAAUGGAUUGUUUAUUAAUUUAUUUGGACUUGCACACAUUAGGUAAGGAAGGAUCGCCAAUCUGGGUGUCCAAAUGAUAGUAAAACCUAGGCUCUUGCACGGUUCUUGGAUUUAUUUUUAGCAUAUAUUACCAAUAUCGAGUCUAAACAUGUGGCUUUUCUUCUCAUCUAUAGGAGAGUUAUGUGCUGAUUUUUUUGGAGAAGCUGGAAGUCCAAGUCAACGACUUGCUUUAUAUGUUUGUUGUAAUGCCGUAUUUUCUGGGAAUUUGGAUGUAAGUUGAUCUUGCUGAGAAUUUGGUGUAUAUUUGCUUGCUGAACUUAUUAUUCAAAUGCUAGGAUAUAUGUACAAACCCUUGGAAUAUUAUUCUAUGUUUACUUGAAAUGUAUUCUUGGAUUAGAAGUGGUCAAAAAGAGAAUAUAUUGGUAUUGAAUUUGGUUUGAUUCUAUGUUUGUGCUGUAA